CAGUAGCCGCGGUAAUACGGAGGGGGCUAGCGUUGUUCGGAAUUACUGGGCGUAAAGCGCACGUAGGCGGCUUGGUAAGUUAGAGGUGAAAGCCUGGAGCUCAACUCCAGAAUUGCCUUUAAGACUGCCGAGCUAGCAGGUGAGAGAGGUAAGUGGAAUUCCGAGUGUAGAGGUAAAAUUCGUAGAUAUUCGGAAGACACCAGUGGCGAAGGCGGCUUACUGGCUCAUACUGGACGCUGAGGUGCGAAAGCGUGGGGAGCAAACAGGAUUAGAUACCCCCGUAGUCCCUGUCUCUUAUACA
rnacentral:rRNA from 1 species